rnacentral:rRNA from 1 species
UCGAGAAUUUUUCACAAUGGGCGCAAGCCUGAUGGAGCGACGCCGCGUGGGGGAUGAAGGGUUUCGAUCCGUAAACCCCUGUCAUUUGCGAACAAUGGUUAACCGAUAACACCGGUUAGCUUGAUAGUAGCGGAAGAGGAAGGGACGGCUAACUCUGUGCCAGCAGCCGCGGUAAUACAGAGGUCCCAAGCGUUGUUCGGAUUCACUGGGCGUAAAGGGUGCGUAGGUGGCCGGGUAAGUUCGGUGUGAAAGCUCGGAGCUUAACUCCGAAAUGGCAUUGAAUACUAUCCGGCUAGAGGGUCGGAGGGGAGACUGGAAUUCUCGGUGUAGCAGUGAAAUGCGUAGAUAUCGAGAGGAACACCAGUGGCGAAGGCGAGUCUCUGGACGACUCCUGACACUGAGGCACGAAAGCUAGGGGAGCAAACAGGAUUAGAUACCCCCGUAGUCC